UGUAUAAGUAACUUGAUACAGUUACCAUGUUGCUUUGGCCCUCUAUUCUAGUUAUUUUCAUUUGAGUCAGCUCUAUUGUCAGACUGUCAAAGUAAAUUUUCUUUUACAGUCUUGCUUUAUUAGUAUUCUACUUCUUUGUUGCUUUAUUGUUAUUCUCUUUUUGUUGUUGUUGUUGUUGUUUUUUCAGGUUAUAAACAAAUCUCAAGAUCGGAGACUGUUAGGACUGAUGCUCACCGAAGUCAAAGAAAGACCUCACUCUAGGGAGAAGAUCCUUAUACUACAGUUUAUUUUCUCAAGACUCCUUUUGGAUUACAGAGAUCAUGUUCUUCCUGUAGACUCCUAUGGAAGAAUUUAAAAUGAGCUUGGAUCUGCACCUGGGGUGGCAUGGAUUUCAAAGUCAUUAUUUAAGGUAAGGAAAUAAAACUUUAAACAACAUUAUCCUGAGAGAUCCU
rnacentral:lncRNA from 1 species